UGAAGCCCCAACAACAACCCAACUUCUACUCUUACAUUGUUCAUUGGGCCUAAUCUCUAUCAGAGCUGAUGGCGUGAAAUCGUCAUGCAUGGCCUUUAGUGCCGAUCAGCUGAAUGAGAGAAACAAACGUGCAGAGUUUCUUCAAUUGGUACUAUGUUACAUCAAUGUUUGCAGCUCUAAUCGCUGUAACUUUGAUAUUUAUAUUCAAGAUAAUUUAGGGUGUAAAAUGGGUUUUGGGGUACCUAUAAUGCUGAUGUUCCUUUCAGCUAUUUCGUUCUUCUUGGCUUCUUUAUUUACAUCAAGUUGAAAACUAGGGCAAGCUUGCUCACUGGUUUGGCUCAAGUUGUAGUGGCUUCUUUAAGAAAGAGGCACAUUGAAGUGCCAAGUGAAGUUUACCAUAUCAGAGAGAGAUCGAUGCUUCCAGUGCUAAGUGAAAAACUAAGGUACUAGCAUCAUAAUAUACAUCGUCUAUUUUAACCAUUGAAGUGCCAAGUGAAGUUUACCAUAUCAGAGAGAGAUCGAUGCUUCCAGUGCUAAGUGAAAAACUAAGGUUUCUGAAUAAAGCUUGCAUGAUAAAAAAUCCCCAAGAGGACUUAACCUCGAAUGGAACUGCUUCAAAUCCAUGGAGUCUUUGUACAAUAGAUCAAGUGGAGGAUCUAAAAGCAUUGAUCGGAGUGAUGCCGCUUUGCUUCGCCGGAAUCAUGCUGUCCAUAACCGUUAAUCAAGGUCAAUUUAUGGUAAUUCAAGCAGGAACCAUGGAUAGACAUGUAACUUCAAACUUUGAAAUCCCAGCAGGUUCAUUCAGCAUGUUUAUGAUGAACACUAUGGCAGUACGGAUCACAUUCUAGGACCGGAUAGCUCUUCCUUUAGCUUCAAAGAUUAAAGGCAAACCAGUAUGUCUAGGUUUAAAACAAAGAAUGCGGAUCGGUCUUCUUUGCUCUUGUGCAUCCAUGGUAUUCUCAGCAUGUAGAGUGUGUACUCGGCGGAAAAUCGCGAUCGAAGAGGACUUUCCGAUGAACCGCAAGCCGUUGUGCAAAUGUCUGCACUAUGGAUACUGUCGUUUUAUGAUCUAGCUGGCUUGGCUGAGGCUUUCAGUGGAAUUGGACAGAUCGAAUUCUGUUACUCCGAAUUACCGAAAACCAUGUCGACCAUUGCGGCCAAAGUUAACGGAUUCGGAGCCUUCAUCGUGAACCUGGUGGCAAGUUUAAUAAAAAGCUUGGUUGACAAUGUUACUAAAAGGGGAGGGGAAAGUUGGGUUUCAAGCGCGCUAUAUGAAUAAAGGGCAUUAUGAUUACUAUUAUUGACUUCUUGCUGGCUUGAACAUGCUUAAUUUUAUGUACUUUCCGGUUUGCUGCAAAGCGUACGGUCCUUGCCAUGAAGAUAACAAAAACCAGGUUGAGAACUCUGGCAUAAGAGAUCAUAAGAGUAUAGAUCAGAGUUGAGUUUCUCGUAAUAUACGAGCACUUCAGUUAGAUAUGUGUGAGGUCGAACGAACAUCUUGUUGAAAAUAAAAUAAUAAGCUUCACGAAUUGUUGAAAAAUGUUGAAUUUUUUUAAUUUAAGAAAAAUACAGGAUCGUAUUGAACGAGGAGAAUUUAAAUUCAAAA